rnacentral:rRNA from 1 species
UACGGAGGGGGCUAGCGUUGUUCGGAAUUACUGGGAGUAAAGCGCGCGUAGGCGGACCUGCAAGUCGGGGGUGAAAUCCCUCGGCUUAACCGAGGAACUGCCCUCCAAACUGCUUUGCUUGAGGCCGGGAGAGGCGAGUGGAAUUCCCAGUGUAGCGGUGAAAUUCGUAGAUAUUGGGAAGAACACCGGUGGCGAAGGCGGCUCACUGGCUCAUUUCUGACGCUCAGGCGCGACAGCGUGGGGAUCAAACAGG